UGCAUCCUUGAAGCUUCCAUCCACAACUUUAACCUGUAGGUUUAUGCACAUGGAUAUAUCAGGUUUGGCUUGCUGUCCUAUUAUGAGAACUGGCUGUUCGUGCUAAAAAUCUUUCACGCUCAAGUACAAACAAGUCAAAUUAAUUCUGAAAAGGAAAACAUUCCGAGGACUGGAUGCCAUGAUCAUCUAGUUUAUAAGGGGUGUAUUCUUUUGCUCAAAAGAAGAGGAGAAAUUCGUUCCACUGCCACUAGUUUGCAUGGUUUUGGACUCCUUGGUGGAGCACUUAUAAAUACCGAUUUCAACUGCAAACACCAGGCGGGCCUCCCUUUCUUAUUAAAUGAGAUAUUUCAUGCUUCGUUUGCCUUGUUGAUGUUACGUGGUACGCGAGUUCCAUGUGAUUAUUAGCAACAUCAACCGACCAGAGAUCCUAAUACUCUGCUUUUGUACGACUUUGACGCCUAUAUAAUGCGAUUUGUAAUUGGCCACCUGUAGGACGAGGAUUAGCAUAUUAGUUGUCACUCGUUUGAAACAUGCAAAGUUGGGUUUUCCUAGAUAUAUUAUGUUGGAUGUGGAUAUAUUAUAUUGGCCACGAGUGCUCUUGAAAAUUAUGUUUGCCAAAAAAAUAAAAAAUAAAAAAGUGGCUAGCAGUUCCAAUCAAAUGAACUUUGGUCCAUUAUCUUUCUUUCCCAGAUUUAAACUAAAAAAGCUAGCUAGCUCAAUCCAAUGAACUUUGUCAUGACCUGUUGCUUUCUUUCCCAGAACUGAGAGCUUUUCUUGACGAGAACGAGGACCUACCAGUCCGUGUCUAGAUCUAAUGCAUGCUGCCGACCAUGAGAUAAAUACCAAACCUGUGCGUGGAUGGAUGGCUUGCCUUAUCAACUAAACCUACUGCUGCUUGGGACCAAUUGGACCAAUUCAACAAUUUCCUUGGCUUUUGAUUGAUAUACUAUUUUGAUGUUAUAUGUGAUUUGAUCUUAAUGAUAAACAGCAAAUUUUAGUAUUUUUUUCUAAUGUGUGGGUUGGUAUUAAAUUAAUUAAAUAAUGUAGUAGAUGAGGGACAAUGAUGAAAUCAUAUUAUUUUCUCUCUCCUAA